GGUUUAGAUGAUUGGUUAAGAUGUCGGACUACUGAUCAGAAGGUCAUGAGUUCAAAUCCCAGCACUGCCA